CUUGCCUGCCGCUAUGCAAGGCGUGACUUUGCUCCUCCUUUGCCUUCUGACAUGAUUGUGAGGCCUCCCCAGCCAUGUGGAACUUCUUGCUCCCCAACACCAGAGGUGAGACCACCUGGAGUGACCGUCUCUUGACUAAAUAAAAAACCUCUUUCCAAGAAGAUCUAUCCUCCAAGAACCACCUGGAUUCCCCAAGAGAUUCUGGGGUCCCCAAACCUGACCUUGGAGCCUCUUUGAUUUGCAAGAUUGCUUAUUUCCAUUUUAAAGGAAGCAUUUCUAAUUAAGAGAUUGGGUCUUGCUUUAUUGCUCAGGCUGGUCUCAAACUCCUGGCCUCAAGUGAUUCUCCUGCCUCAGCUUCCCAAAGCUCCCGGGAUUACAGGCAUGAGCCACUGUGCCCUCAAUUUAUAACUUCAAUUAAUUCUUUUAUUUGCUCCUCCCUCCCCCGGACCCACUGGACCAUAAGCCCCAGGGACAGAAGCCUUGCAUUCCUCCUUCCAGCACCUGGCCGCACCUAAGAGUUAAAGAAUAUAUGAACGGCCCCUUGGUACUGGCGGGUGAGGGCUCUGGUGACCUCACAAUCUGAAUAAAAACCAGAGACUGUUGUCUGACCAGAACAAAUGCUCUUUGGGGAACAAAGGGACAGAAUACCUGAAAUUAAGGGCCAUCGCAGAAAAUCCAGAACAGCUGGUGGCCACAGGAAAGGCCAAACCUCCUGAGUCUCAGGUCUGUGUGGAGCCAUGAAAGUCACUCGUUUUGACUCUGAGCUGACAUCUGACCUCUAGAGUCAAUUAUUCCUCCUCUCCAUGAACAUAUUCCCGACAAAAUGGGGUCAGGAGACAUUUGCAUCCAAACUACCAAGCUCUUUAAAUGUUGGGGCCUGGAGGCCUGAUGGGUUUAUUAGAUUAUCAUUGCGGAAGUUAAUAAAGAAUUAAUUUCUCUUCAUAUGACAUCCAAAGGCAGUUAUUUCAGGAGCCUGUCCAUUUACACAAAGCUGAGUAUUUGUCAAGUGUCAGAGGCAAUUCCCAGGUCCCAGCCCCCCCUCAAUAAUUCUGGAUUAGGGACAGCCUGAAAUGACAUUACACAAAUUUUCUUUCAAGAUGCAUGGAGCUCUGGGGACCACUCAGGAAUUUCAGGUUCCUGAAGGUUAUACUGUCAGCAAAAGGGCUGGGGGGUGGGG
rnacentral:lncRNA from 1 species